UAAUUAAUAAUUAUAUAGCGUCACAAAUGGACGACACCUCAGUGGAAGAAACUGAAGCAGCUUCAUGAACGUCAUUCACCUGAAAUAAAAUGAUAUAAAAACUGCAGAAAACGUAAAAUAAAUGAAUCUAGAAAAACAGAGAUGACUGAGGGAGACCACAUGACACCUCUGAAGCACGGUGGAGGCAGCAUCAUGAUGUGAAGCACGGUGGAGGCAGCAUCAUGAUGAAGCAUGGUGGAAGCAGCAUCAUGGUGUUCUGUUGUAUUUCCAGUCUUCUGUAUUGUACAUAGGGAGAUGUUCAUGUGCGUUUCUGGAGCAGAGGUAUUUUAUAUCAGGUUGGGGACCAACAGAAGGUGAUAAAAACAUUAAACAGCAUCAGGCUCUCCUUCAGGGUCAGCAAACAUUCUUGUAAUAUUCAGUCUGAAGCUCUGGGAUAAAAACAUGUGGAACCUUCAGAGAACCUGAACUCUUUUUAUUCAGGUUGAAACCUUCAGUGUGUCUCUGAACACAUGGCCGGAUUCCAAGGAUUAACAUUCAUCCUGAUGAUUUAGCAGCUCCAGGCCACAGAUACUCAGUGUUUUAGGUUUCAUUUCAUGUUUUGGUUGUUUCUCCCAAAUGUGAAGCAGCAGCCGCUUAGCUCAGAGAUGAAGGAGGGAAGAAUCCAACCACAGACAGCACAAACAUGUUCAACCAGAGAAGAAACUAUUUUCACAGAUUUUAAUCUUGUCUGCUGUCAUCUGUCUGGUUGUGUUGAUGCUAAGCUAAGCUAAUUGGAUGCUGACUCCAGGUUUAUAUGCGAUGGCUGUGUUAUGCUAAGCUAAGCUAACUGGCUGCUGUCUCCAGGUGUAUAUGUGAUGGUUGUGUUGAUGCUAAGCCAACCGACUGCUGACUCCAGGUUUAUAUGUGAUGGUAGUGUUGAUGCUAAGCUAAGCUAACUGGCUGCUGACUCCAGGUUUAUAUUCGAUGGUUGUGUUGAUGCUAAGCUAAUUGGAUGCUGACUCCAGGUUUAUAUGUGAUGGCUGUGUUAUGCUAAGCUAAGCUAACUGGCUGCUGACUCCAGGUUUAUAUUCGAUGGUUGUGUUAUGCUAAGCUAAGCUAACUGGCUGCUGUCUCCAGGUUUAUAUGUGAUGGUUGUGUUGAUGCUAAGCCAACCGACUGCUGACUCCAGGUUUAUAUGUGAUGGUAGUGUUGAUGCUAAGCUAAGCUAACUGGCUGCUGACUCCAGGUUUAUAUGUGAUGGUAGUGUUGAUGCUAAGCUAAUUGGAUGCUGACUCCAGGUUUAUAUGUGAUGGCUGUGUUAUGCUAAGCUAAGCUAACUGGCUGCUGUCUCCAGGUUUAUAUGUGAUGGUUGUGUUGAUGCUAAGCUAAGCUAAAAGGUUGCUGACUCCAGGUUUAUAUGCGAUGGCUGUGUUAUGCUAAGCUAAGCUAACUGGCUGCUGUCUCCAGGUGUAUAUGUGAUGGUUGUGUUGAUGCUAAGCUAAAAGGUUGCUGACUCCAGGUUUAUAUGCGAUGGCUGUGUUAUGCUAAGCUAAGCUAACUGGCUGCUGUCUCCAGGUUUAUAUGUGAUGGUUGUGUUGAUGCUAAGCUAAGCUAAAAGGUUGCUGACUCCAGGUUUAUAUGCGAUGGCUGUGUUAUGCUAAGCUAAGCUAACUGGCUGCUGUCUCCAGGUGUAUAUGUGAUGGUUGUGUUGAUGCUAAGCUAAAAGGUUGCUGACUCCAGGUUUAUAUGCGAUGGCUGUGUUAUGCUAAGCUAAGCUAACUGGCUGCUGUCUCCAGGUGUAUAUGUGAUGGUUGUGUUGAUGCUAAGCUAAAAGGUUGCUGACUCCAGGUUUAUAUGCGAUGGCUGUGUUAUGCUAAGCUAAGCUAACUGGCUGCUGUCUCCAGGUUUAUAUGUGAUGGUUGUGUUGAUGCUAAGCUAAGCUAAAUGGUUGCUGACUCCAGG